rnacentral:tRNA from 1 species
UGAGGAAUGGCGUAAAUCGCAUUGUACACUGACUCUGGAUCAGUCUGUGAGGGUUCGAAUCCUUCUUCCGCAGCCA